AUUGAACGCUGGCGGCAGGCCUAACACAUGCAAGUCGAGCGGAUGAAGGGAGCUUGCUCCUGGAUUCAGCGGCGGACGGGUGAGUAAUGCCUAGGAAUCUGCCUGGUAGUGGGGGAUAACGUCCGGAAACGGGCGCUAAUACCGCAUACGUCCUGAGGGAGAAAGUGGGGGACCUUCGGACCUCACGCUAUCAGAUGAGCCUAGGUCGGAUUAGCUAGUUGGUGGGGUAAAGGCCUACCAAGGCGACGAUCCGUAACUGGUCUGAGCGGAUGAUCAGUCACACUGGAACUGAGACACGGUCCAGACUCCUACGGGAGGCAGCAGUGGGGAAUAUUGGACAAUGGGCGAAAGCCUGAUCCAGCCAUGCCGCGUGUGUGAAGAAGGUCUUCGGAUUGUAAAGCACUUUAAGUUGGGAGGAAGGGCAGUAAGUUAAUACCUUGCUGUUUUGACGUUACCAACAGAAUAAGCACCGGCUAACUUCGUG
rnacentral:rRNA from 1 species